rnacentral:rRNA from 1 species
GAUGAACGCUAGCGGGAGGCCUAACACAUGCAAGCCGAGCGGUAUUGUUUCUUCGGACAUGAGAGAGCGGCGUACGGGUGCGUAACACGUGUGCAACCUGCCUUUAUCUGGGGGAUAGCCUUUCGAAAGGAAGAUUAAUACUCCAUAAUAUAUUGAACGGCAUCGUUUAAUAUUGAAAGCUCCGGCGGAUAGAGAUGGGCACGCGCAAGAUUAGCUAGUUGGUGAGGUAACGGCUCACCAAGGCGAUGAUCUUUAGGGGGCCUGAGAGGGUGAUCCCCCACACUGGUACUGAGACACGGACCAGACUCCUACGGGAGGCAGCAGUGAGGAAUAUUGGUCAAUGGGGGCAAGCCUGAACCAGCCAUCCCGCGUGAAGGACGACUGCCCUAUGGGUUGUAAACUUCUUUUGUAUAGGGAUAAACCUACCCUCGAGAGGGUAGCUGAAGGUACUAUACGAAUAAGCACCGGCUAACUCCGUG